CUACGGGGCGCACCAGUGAGGAAUAUUCCGCAAUGGGGGAAACCCUGACGGAGCGACACCGCGUGAAGGAUGACACCCCUUGGGGCGUAAACUUCUGUUCUGAGGGACGAAAUUUUUGACGGUACCUCAGGAGAAAGCACCGGCUAAUUCCGUGCCAGCAGCCGCGGUAAGACGGAAGGUGCAAGCGUUACUCGGAAUUACUGGGCGUAAAGCGUCCGCAGGCGAUCUUUUAAGUCCGACAUUAAAAUUCGCAGCUCAACUGCGUAGUGUGCCGGAAACUGAAAGAAUUGAGUCACCCAGAGGCAUCUGGAAUGCCAUGUGAAGGGGUCAAAUCCGUUGAUCCAUGGUAGAACGCCAAAAGUGAAGACAAGAUGCUGGGGGUGUACUGACGCUCAGGGACGAAAGCGUGGGGAGCGAAGGGGAUUAGAUACCCUGGUAGUC
rnacentral:rRNA from 1 species